rnacentral:rRNA from 1 species
UACAGAGGUGGCAAGCGUUGUUCGGAAUUACUGGGCGUAAAGGGCGCGUAGGCGGUCUUGUAAGUCUUGUGUGAAAUCCCUCGGCUUAACUGAGGAACUGCACGGGAUACUGCAUGACUUGAGAUCGGGAGAGGGAAGCGGAAUUCCGGGUGUGGCGGUGAAAUGCGUAGAUAUCGGGAGGAACACCAGUGGCGAAGGCGGCUUCCUGGACCGACACUGACGCUGAGGCGCGAAAGCGUGGGGAGCAAACAGG